rnacentral:rRNA from 1 species
UCGAGAAUCUUCCGCAAUGGGCGCAAGCCUGACGGAGCGAUGCCGCGUGCGGGAUGACGGCCUUCGGGUUGUAAACCGCUGUCACCCGGGAUGAAGCAAGUGACCGUACCGGGAGAGGAAGCCACGGCUAACUACGUGCCAGCAGCCGCGGUAAGACGUAGGUGGCGAGCGUUAUUCGGAUUUAUUGGGCGUAAAGGGUUCGUAGGGGGCUGGUUAAGGCUGAGGUGAAAGCCCACGGCUCAACUGUGGAAUGGCCUUAGCGACUGACCGGCUAGAGGACCGGCGAGGAAAGUGGAAUGCCGGGUGUAGCGGUGGAAUGCGUAGAUAUCCGGAGGAACACCAACGGCGAAGGCAGCUUUCUGGACGGUUUCUGACCCUGAGGAACGAAAGCCGGGGGAGCAAACA